UACGUAGGUGGCAAGCGUUGUCCGGAAUUAUUGGGCGUAAAGCGCGCGCAGGUGGUCCUUUAAGUCUGAUGUGAAAGCCCACGGCUCAACCGUGGAGGGUCAUUGGAAACUGGGGGACUUGAGUGCAGGAGAGAAGAGUGGAAUUCCACGUGUAGCGGUGAAAUGCGUAGAGAUGUGGAGGAAUACCAGUGGCGAAGGCGGCUUUCUGGGCCUACCCUGACGCUGAGGAGCGAAAGCGUGGGGAGCAAACCGG
rnacentral:rRNA from 1 species